GGAGAAAGCUCAGUGUUUGGGUGUUGGACUACAACUCUGGAGACCAGGGUUCGAUUCCCAGCUUGGCCG